GUUUGAUCCUGGCUCAGGAUGAACGCUGGCGGCGUGCCUAAUACAUGCAAGUCGAACGAGGUGCUUUUGUAGCAAUACGAAAGUAUCCUAGUGGCGAACGGGUGAGUAACGCGUUGGUGACCUGCCCCAAAGUGUGGGAUAACAGUCCGAAAGGAUUGCUAAUACCUCAUGUGGUCAUCGGGUUUAGAAACCGAUGACUAAAGCAGCAAUGCGCUUUGGGAGGGGCCUGCGUCCCAUCAGCUAGUUGGUGAGGUAAUGGCUCACCAAGGCGACGACGGGUAGGGGACCUGAGAGGGUGGCCCCCCACAAUGGAACUGAAACACGGUCCAUACACCUACGGGUGGCAGCAGUAGGGAAUAUUGCUCAAUGGGCGAAAGCCUGAAGCAGCAACGCCGCGUGCGCGAUGAAGGUCUUCGGAUCGUAAAGCGCUUUUAUGAGGGAUGAGAAAGGACAGUACCUCAGGAAUAAGUCUCGGCUAACUACGUGCCAGCAGCCGCGGUAAAACGUAGGAGGCAAGCGUUAUCCGGAUUCACUGGGCGUAAAGCGCGUGCGGGCGGUUCGGUAAGUUGGGCGUGAAAUCUCCUGGCUUAACUGGGAGAGGUCGUCCAAUACUACCGGACUUGAGAGUGAUAGAGGAAGAUGGAAUUCCCGGUGUAGUGGUGAAAUGCGUAGAUAUCGGGAGGAACACCAGUGGCGAAAGCGAUCUUCUGGAUCAUUCCUGACGCUCAGACGCGAAAGCUAGGGUAGUAAACGGGAUUAGAGACCCCGGUAAUCCUAGCCGUAAACGAUGUAAACUUGGCGUUGGUGGCUUAAACACCAUCAGUGCCGCAGCUAACGCGAUAAGUUUACCGCCUGGGGACUACGAUCGCAGAUUAAAACUCAAAGGAAUUGACGGGGGCCCGCACAAGCAGCGGAGCGUGUGGUUUAAUUCGAUGCUACACGAAGAACCUUACCCGGGUUUGACAUGCAAGUGGUAGUGAUCUGAAAGGUGAACGA
rnacentral:rRNA from 1 species